GUGGGGAAUCUUCCGCAAUGGACGAAAGUCUGACGGAGCAACGCCGCGUGAGUGAAGAAGGUUUUCGGAUCGUAAAGCUCUUUCGUCAGGGACGAACGUAUUUCUUGUAAAUAAUGAGAGAUAGUGACGGUACCUGAAUAAGAAGCCACGGCUAACUACGUGCCAGCAGCCGCGGUAAUACGUAGGUGGCAAGCGUUGUCCGGAAUUAUUGGGCGUAAAGCGCGCGCAGGCGGGAUAUCAAGUCUGUCUUAAAAGUGCGAGGCUCAACCUCGUGAGGGGACAGAAACUGGUAUUCUUGAGUGUCGGAGAGGAAAGUGGAAUUCCAAGUGUAGCGGUGAAAUGCGUAGAGAUUUGGAAGAACACCAGUGGCGAAGGCGACUUUCUGGACGAUGUCUGACGCUGAGGCGCGAAAGCUAGGGGAGCGAACGGGAUUAGAUACCCGUGUAGUCC
rnacentral:rRNA from 1 species